rnacentral:rRNA from 1 species
AGUGAACGCUGGCGGUAGGCCUAACACAUGCAAGUCGAACGGCAGCACAGUAAGAGCUUGCUCUUACGGGUGGCGAGUGGCGGACGGGUGAGGAAUACAUCGGAAUCUACUUUUUCGUGGGGGAUAACGUAGGGAAACUUACGCUAAUACCGCAUACGACCUACGGGUGAAAGCAGGGGAUCUUCGGACCUUGCGCGAUUGAAUGAGCCGAUGUCGGAUUAGCUAGUUGGCGGGGUAAAGGCCCACCAAGGCGACGAUCCGUAGCUGGUCUGAGAGGAUGAUCAGCCACACUGGAACGGAGACACGGUCCAGACUCCUACGAGAGGCAGCAGUGGGGAAUAUUGGACAAUGGGCGCAAGCCUGAUCCAGCCAUACCGCGUGGGUGAAGAAGGCCUUCGGGUUGUAAAGCCCUUUUGUUGGGAAAGAAAAGCAGCAGGUUAAUACCCCGCUGUUCUGACGGUACCCAAAGAAUAAGCACCGGCUAACUUCGUG